rnacentral:rRNA from 1 species
AGUCGAACGAGAUCCAUUCAGUAGCAAUACUGAUGAAGAUCUAGUGGCGAACGGGUGCGUAACACGUGAGGAACUUGUCCCGGUCUCUGGGAUAACAGUUGGAAACGACUGCUAAUACCGGAUGACGUCGGAACUUCGCAUGGAGUACUGACGAAAGGGUUACUGGAUCGGGAGAGCCUCGCGGCCUAUCAGCUUGUUGGUGGGGUAACGGCCUACCAAGGCAUCGACGGGUAGCUGGUCUGAGAGGAUGAUCAGCCACACUGGGACUGAGACACGGCCCAGACUCCUACGGGAGGCAGCAGUGGGGAAUCUUGCACAAUGGGCGAAAGCCUGAUGCAGCAACGCCGCGUGCGGGAAGAAGGCCCUCGGGUUGUAAACCGCUUUCAGAAGGAACGAAACUGACGGUACUUUCAGAAGAAGGUGCGGCCAACUACGUGCCAGCAGCCGCGGUGACACGUAGGCACCAAGCGUUGUCCGGAUUUAUUGGGCGUAAAGAGCUCGUAGGCGGUUCAGUAAGUCGGGUGUGAAAACUUUGGGCUUAACCCAAAGCGUGCAUCCGAUACUGCUGUGACUUGAGUACGGUAGGGGAGCGGGGAAUUCCUAGUGUAGCGGUGAAAUGCGCAGAUAUUAGGAGGAACACCGGUGGCGAAGGCGCCGCUCUGGGCCGAAACUGACGCUGAGGAGCGAAAGCAUGGGUAGC